rnacentral:rRNA from 1 species
GCUUGUCUCAAAGAUUAAGCCAUGCAUGUCUAAGUAUAAACUGCUUAUACUGUGAAACUGCGAAUGGCUCAUUAAAUCAGUUAUAGUUUAUUUGAUGGUACCUACUACUCGGAUAACCGUAGUAAUUCUAGAGCUAAUACGUGCGCACAACCCGACUUCUGGAAGGGUCGUAUUUAUUAGAUGGAAACCAAUGCAGGGCAACCUGGAAUAUGGUGAUUCAUAAUAACUCGCGGAUCGGUUUACCGAUGCAUCAUUCAAGUUUCUGCCCUAUCAGCUUUGGAUGGUAGGGUAUUGGCCUACCAUGGCUUUAACGGGUAACGGAGAAUUAGGGUUCGAUUCCGGAGAGGGAGCCUGAGAAAUGGCUACCACAUCCAAGGAAGGCAGCAGG